CAGCAGCCACGGUAAUACGUAGGGUGCGAGCGUUAAUCGGAAUUACUGGGCGUAAAGCGUGCGCAGGCGGUUAUAUAAGACAGAUGUGAAAUCCCCGGGCUCAACCUGGGACCUGCAUUUGUGACUGUAUAGCUAGAGUACGGUAGAGGGGGAUGGAAUUCCGCGUGUAGCAGUGAAAUGCGUAGAUAUGCGGAGGAACACCGAUGGCGAAGGCAAUCCCCUGGACCUGUACUGACGCUCAUGCACGAAAGCGUGGGGAGCAAACAGGAUUAGAGACCCCAGUAGUCCCUGUCUCUUAUAC
rnacentral:rRNA from 1 species